rnacentral:rRNA from 1 species
GAGGAUGCGAGCGUUAUCCGGAUUUAUUGGGUUUAAAGGGUGCGCAGGCGGACGCGCAAGUCUGCGGUCAAAUUCCGGGGCUCAACCCCGGACCGCCGUGGAAACUGUGCGACUAGAGUGGGCGAGAGGCAUGCGGAAUGCGCGGUGUAGCGGUGAAAUGCUUAGAGAUCGCGCAGAACUCCGAUUGCGAAGGCAGCAUGCCGGCGCCUUACUGACGCUCAUGCACGAAAGCGUGGGGAUCGAAC